AUUCUUGGCCUCUAGUGAGUAUUUUUAAAUUUUGAGACUUUUUUUCUGUGACUGUUCAGCCCGAUAUUUACCCCUGUUGUCUUUCUUCUCCUUUAGUACCUCCACCAGCUGCCAGCGCCUACCCAACCUCUGUCAAGACUGCCACACUCUCUGAUCAGCUCCACUCACCUGUUGUCUUCUCCAGCUCACAUACAGCCUCACCCCCUCACCAUGGAUCUCCUCCACCCCUUGGACCCCGGACCUCUCACCAUCUUGUACCUAUCUUUAUCGAUAAAACCACUUACAGCGUCAUCUGCCUCCGCUGCCUGCUUUUGGGUCCCUUCAGGAAAACAAACCCUUACACUUGAUCCAUUUUCAGGAAACGACAGCUAAGAUUAUUACUGUCAGUGUGAUCUACCUGCUUAGACUGUUAGCAAACCACAGACAGACUGAGGGCCUAAAUUGUGUGAGCAAACAAAAAAAUUGCACAUGUAUUGUUUGUGAUCUACUAAGAUUGUAUGCCCAGUUGAUAACAAGUGCAAAAGUAGUGCAGACCUCCAUAUUCUGCAGCUAAUUUUCCAAACGCUGUACAUGCCCUGCAGGUGUGGAUACUCAAAGUGAGCACAUCAUCCUUACACUGGCUCCUGUUCAGUACAGAAUUCAUUUUAAGCUUUUAAUAUUUGUUUUUAAGGGCCUGAACAACCUUGCUCCACCCUAUAUUUUGGAGAUGCUACAGCCUUAUUGCCCACCCCGAC